rnacentral:lncRNA from 1 species
CCUGGGUGGCACAGCGGUAGGAUCCCUGGGUGGCGCAGCGGUUUAGCGCCUGCCUUUGGCCCUGGGCACGAUCCUGGAGACCCAGGAUCGAAUCCCACGUCAGGCUCCUGGUGCACUGGAGCCUGCUUCUCUCUCUGCCUGUGUCUCUGCCUCUCUCUCUGUGUGACUAUCAUAAAUAAAUAAAAAUUAAAAAAAUAAAGAUUUUAUUUAUGUAUUCAUGAGAGACAUUAGAGAGAGAAGCAGAGACAUAAGCAGAGGGAGAAGCAGGCUCCCUACAGGAAGCCCAUUGCAGGACUCAAUCCCAGAACUCUGGGAUCACACCCUGCAACAAAGGCAGAUGCUCAACCGCUGAGCCACCCAGACAUCCCUAGAAUCAAUCAUUUCUUAAAAGAGCCCUUGUUCCUAUUAGUGAAGAAAAUGGUAUUUGGAGGCCAUGCUCUGGGUGCUAGCAUGCUUACUUGCUACUGCAGUGUCACUGUUACCAGGCCCCCUCAGUGGACAAAGCUAAUAAAUAUGAAUACACACACAUAUUGCAUUCACACAUUUAUAGCCAUACUUAUUUUUAUAUCUAUGUAUCUAUAAUGAAAAUAAGUUUGCACUAAUAAAAUUCUAAUCUAAAACCACUCAGUUCUAGUUGUUUCCUUUUCCAUAUGUGUAACUCCCUUCCCUGACAAAAAAAAUGUUCAUUAUCCUUGAAUAUAUAGUUAUAUGUGAUGUAUCUUCCCGGAAGUAAUCAAUACCCCAUUGCAACUGCCAUACUCUCCCUGGACAGAUACUCCUCACCAUGCUCAGGCUCUUGCACAGUUCUAUAGAGCCAUCGUGGCUUUACUGACAUAUAUGCCUACCUUGCUCAGUUCCACCUAAUAGCUUUAGGAUUAAAUUGCUAGGAAAAGAAUGAAAAGUAAAGAAUCUUUCCCAGGUAGGUCAGAGAGACGUGAUGUGAAAAGGACUAAACCUACUGUUGUUGACUUUAAAGAUGGAGGGAGCAGGCCAUGAGCUAAGGCAUGUGGCAGCUUCUAGGCUGGUAACAGUUCUCACCUUAUAGCCAACAAAAAAAAUGAAGAUUCAGAUCUUCAGAUAUAAGUAACUAAAUUCUUCCAAUAACCCAAAUAAGCAGGAAACAGCUUCUCCCCUAAAGCCUCCAGAAAAUAACACAGCCCUGCUGAUAUUUGAUUUUAGUGUGGUGAGACUCAUACAGGACUUCUGGCCUACAAAACUGUAAGAUAAUAAAUUUGCAUUUUUCAAGUCACUAAAUUGUGGGAAUUGGUUACAGCAGCAAGGGAAGACUAAUAUAAUGGUCAUUUAAUUUCCACCACAGGCUCCACCUCUACUGUUGAAAAUACCAUUUAUAACAUGAUACUGAAACAACUUGAUAUCUCUACAGAAAAAAAAAAAAAAAAACAAAACCUCACCCCCCAUCUGACACCAUGAACAAAAAUUACUUCAAGAUUAGCCCUAAAAAACAAUUAUAAAGUUUUCAGAAAAAACAUAGGUAACUAUUUAAAUAUUUUUAAAAUGUGACAGUAGACAAAUUUCUUAAGUCACAGAGAGUAAUAACUAUCAAAGAAAAACGUUGAUAAAUUAAACUUUGUAAUAAAGCCUUUUGCUCAUCAAAAGACACUAUUAAAAAAUAACUAGGAAAUCCCAAGAGUACAAAAAAUAUUCAUAAAGCAUUUGUCUUACAGAGGCCUGGUAUCUAGGAUAUAUUAGAACUUAUAUAACUCAACAAUGAAAAUGUGAUCAGUUAAAAAUGGACAGAAAAUACGAGCAGAGGAAAUGUUCAAAUAGUUAUUAAGUACAUAAAAAAAGUGGUCAGCCUCAACAGUCAUUAGGGAAAGGCCAAUUAAAACACCACGAGACACUACAGAACACCAAUGAAAUACAUAUCCAGAAUGAUAGCACUAAAUGUUGGUGAAAAUAUAGGGCAACUAGAACUCUCAUACAUUAUUGUUGGGAGUGUAAACUGGUACAACUAUUUUGGAUAAAGUUCUAGCAGAAACUUUAAAGCUGAACUUACACCUACACACUAUAUCCAAACAAUUAUACUCCUAGGUGUUUAUUCAAAAGAAAUGAAAAAAUAGAGGCACCUGGGUGGCUCAGUCAGUUAAGCAUCUUCCUUCAGCUUGGGUCAUGAUCUCGGGGUCUUGGGAUCAGCCCUGUGUCAGGCUUCCUGCUCAGCAGGGAAUCUGCUUCUUCCUCUGCCCACACCCCUGCCAGUUGUGCUCAUGCUCUUGCUCUCAAAUAAAUAAAAUCUUUCCAAAAAAUGAAAAAAUACAUUCAUAAAAAGAAUGUUUAUAACAGCAUUAUAAUAGCAAAACACCUGGAAACAUCCCAGGAAUCUAUCAAUAGGAGAAUGGAUAAAGAAACUGUGAUGUAGUCAAUGAAAUCCAACUCUGUAAUAAGAACUAUUUAGAUACACACACAGAUCACAACAUGGAUAAAUUUUAACAAUGCUAUACUGGGGAACUGACUGGUAGGAGCACGAGGGAACUCUUUGAUAGGAUUUUGGUUUGCACAAGUGUAUGAAUUUGUCAAUGUUCUUCAAAUGAUAAAUUUAAGAAAAGGGUGGUUCACUGAAUACACAUUUUACCUAAAAAUCUGCAACGAAAUAUUGAACUUUAAUUAGUAAUAUGCAUGCUAAAGUGUUUAAGAGUAAAAUAUACUGAUGUCUGUAACUUAAUUUGAAACACAUAAAAAAAUUGACCAAUUCAUGGAUAAAUACACGGCUAGAUGGAUAGCUAACUAUAGGAUAAAGCAAAUACAGCAAAGUAUUCAUUGUAGUGUCUAGGUGGUGAAUACUUAGAUGUUUACUAUAUAAUUCUUUGUUUUAUAUGUUUGGAAAUUUUUGUAAGAAAAUGUUGGUGAAUACAUAUACAAUAAAUAACUGCCAAUCCAUAAUUUUGUAUACAAUGAAAAUAUCUUCUAAGAAUUAGGGGAUCUCUGAAAAUGUUUACCUACUCACUUGACCCAGAAAACCCCACAAAAUCAUGCAAAUCAAGAAUUCAAAUCUUCAUGUUCAUAUUAAGAACACUUGUGAAACUGCUAAAGCUAUUGUAUGCAUAUCUGAAAAAGCCACCAAGUCUCUGAAGAAUAUCACUUUACAGAAGCAACUUGUGCCAUUCUGUCAUGACAAUGGUGGAGUUGGUAAGUGUGCCUAGGCCAAACAGUGUGGUUGGACACAGGGUUGGUGAAUUGUUGGUUGGUACAUGCUUAAAAAUGCAGAGAAUAAUGAUGGACUUAAGGAUUUAAAUGUAGCUUCUCUGGUCAUUAAGCACUUAGAUGCAGUGCAGAAAUUAUAGAACUCGUGGUCAGAUUAAUCCAUACAUGAACUCCCUGCCACACUGAGAUGAUCCUUACUGAAAGAGAAGAGAUUGUUCCUAAAUCAAAAGGAGAGGUUGUACAGAAGAAAAAAUAUCCCAGAAGGGAAGAAACAAAAACUUAUGGCCUGGGAAUAAAUUCAAUAUAAAAUGAAUGGAAAUAAAAGUAUACACACAUGCACAUGUGUGCAUGGACGUAUGUGCACAUAUACACAUGUAACUAAAACAUACCACAAUGAUGGCAUUUAAGUUGGUAGAAGCAAUGACUGGUAUAAAGUAUUCCAACAUCAUUACACUGUUGGGCAGGAAAAAUGGUAAGUUUAGAUUAUGAUAACUUAAGUAUGUCCUACUAAAUUAAAGUUUUAGCAGAAGCACCAGAAUAAUGCAAAUAUAAUAUAUAUCUUCCAAAAGAGGAGGAAAUAAAAGAAGGGAGAGGGGAACAAUCUAAAGGAACAAAGGAGGGAAUCCCUGGGUGGCUCAGUGGUUUAGUGCCUGCCUUUGGCCCAGGGCGUGAUCCUGGAGUCCCGGGAUUGAGUCCCACAUCGGGCUCCCUGCAUGGAGCCUGCUUCUCCCUCUGCCUGUGUCUCUGCCACUCUCUCUCUCUCUCUCUCUCUGUGUCUCUCAUGAAUAAAUAAAUAAAAUAUUAAAAAAAUAAUAAUAAUAAUAAAAUAAAGGAACAAAGGAGGGAAAUGAAAACAUCAAAGUUACAUAAUUAUACAGAAAGGCUGAAUAUGAGGGAACAAAAAAAAUUAGUCAAAAUACUAAGAAAGGUGAUGUAGAUAUAUUAAUAUUGGAUAAAUUAGACUUUAAAUAAAAGCAUUGUUAUAAAAAGAUCAAGAACAGGGGUGCCUGGGUGGCUUAGUCAAGUAUCUGCCUUCUUAUAACCUUAAGAAUUUAUGUUAGAAGUAUAAAAAAUUAGUUACCUAAGUAUCCAACUUAAAAUGUGAGAAAAAAAUGGCAGAAUAAAUUGAAAGAAAGUAAAGAAAAAAUAAAGAAUACAAAAUAAAGGGAAUGGUAAAAGUUAUAUAAUCAAAAAGAUUAAUAAGGCCCCAGAUAGGUUUUAGUGUUAUCAUGUACCAAAAAUUAUAACACUAUGUUAAAAGCAUGUAUAUAGUGCAGAUAAUAAAAAUGACCAACAACAAAAAAAUGACCAACAAAAUUGAAGAACCCCCUAACAGUUCUAUCUAUCUAUCUAUCUAUCUAUCUAUCUAUCUAUCUAUCUAUCAUAUACAUAUAUAAAUAUAUGAUAACCUAGUUUAUGACUGUCAGUAAGAGGGGAAAGGGUAGCCUUUUCAUAAUGCAAGACAACUGGUAUACAAACACACACACAAUUGUACCCCUCCUUUGUCUUACAGAAAGAGAUUGAUUCCAAGAGAUUUUUGAGCAAAAAAAAUGUGUAAGGCAAAACUAUAAAGCUUUAAGACAGAAAACUAAAAUUAUGACCUUGGUAUAGAGAAGAACUUUUCAAAAGAUUUUAGGAGUAUGCGCAAAAAAAAAAAAAAAAAAAGAGUAUGUGCACACCCUGCUGCACCUGAGUCAGGGAGGGGCAGAGGGAGAGAAUCCUCAAGCAGACUCCCCAUGGAGACAGGUCUCAAUCCCCCAACCCAUGAAAUCAUGACCUGAGCUGAAACCAAUAGUGGGUUACCCAACCAACAAAGGCACCCAGGUGCUCCUAGAGAAGAAUUUCUUAAACAAAAUGCAAACAAUUACAAGCCAUAUAGAAUAAUUAAAUAAACCUGACAUUAAAAGAGUACUUCUACUUAUUAAAAGAUUACUAAAUAAUGAAAAAACAAACUAUAAACUAGAAGGCAUGUUCAAUCAUAAACACCUAAACAAUUUUAAAAAUAAAUUUCUAAAACUAAUAAUAAAAGAUAACCCAAGAAAAAAUGAACACAAGACUUUAUUUUUAAGAUUUUAUUUAUUUAUUAGAGAGAGAUCACGAGCAAGGGGGAAGGGCAGAGGGAGAAGCAGACUGAGCAGGGAGCCCUCCUCAGGACUCAAUCCCAGGACUUUGGGAUCAUGACCUGAGCAGAAGGCAGACACUUAACUAACUGAGCCACUCAGGCCCCUGAGCACAAGACUUUAAUAGGCAUUUCACAGAAGAGGAAUGGCCAGUAAACAUAUGUUUAAAAAGAAAAAAAAAAAAAAAAAAAA